rnacentral:hammerhead_ribozyme from 1 species
GCACUGCUGAGGAAUCCCAUACCAGAACGAAACGGCUGUCCAGUAC